AAGAGAUGGGAAGGAGACAGUGGGACAGAGGAGAAUGGAAAGAGAAGAGAUGGAAGGAGACAGUGAGGAUAGAGGAGGAGUGGGAAAGAGAGGGAGAAGGAGACAGGUGAGGACAGAGGAGGAUGGGAAAGGAAGAGAUGGGAAGGGAGACAAUGAGGACUAGAGGAGGAUGGUGGGAAAGAGAAGAGAUGGGAGCGAGACAUGGGACAGAGAGGAGGAGUGGGAACGAGAUGGAGGGGAGGAGACAGUGAGGACAGAAGAGGAGUGGGAAAGAGAUGGAACGGAGACGUGAGGACAGAGGAGGAGUGGGUAAGAGAUGGGAGGGCGGGAGACCAGUAUGAGACAGAGCGGCGUGGGAAAGAGAUGGGAGGAAGGAGACAGUGAGGACAGAGGAGGAGUGGGAAAGGGAGAUGUAGGGGACCGUGGAGGACAGAGAGGAGUGGGAAAGAGAUGGGAGGGAGACAGUGAGACGAGGAUGGAGUGGGGAAAGGGAUGGAGGGAGACUGUGAGGAAGGAGGAGUGGGAAAGUGGAUGGAGGGAGACUGUGAGGACAGAGGAGGAGUGGGAAAGGUGAUGGAGGGAGGACCGUGAGGACAGAGGGGGAGUGGGAAAGGCAUGGAGGGAGACCGUUGAGGACAGAGGGGAGUGGGAAAGGGAUAGAGGGAGACCGUUAGGACGAGGAGAGGAGUGGGAAAAAGGGAUAGAGGGAGGACCGUGAGGACAGAGGAGGAGGGGAAAAGGGAUAGAGGGAGACCGUGAGGACAGAGGAGGAGGAGAAGAGGAUUAGGGAGACAGUGAGGACAGAGGAGGAGUGGGAAAAGGGAUGGAGGGAGACUGUGAGGACAGAGGGGAGUGGGAAAGAGAUGGGAGGGAGGGAGACAGAGAGGACAGAGGAGGAGUGGGAAAGAGAUGGGAGGGAUGGAAGACAGUGAGGACAGAGAGGAGUAAUGGGAAAGAGACGGGAGGGACAGUGGGACAGAGGAGGAAUUGGAAAGAGAUGGGAGGGAGACAGUGAGGACAGAAGAGGAAUGGGAAAGAGAUGGGAGGGAGACUGUGAGGACAGAGGAGGAGUGGGAAGGGAUGGAGGGAGACAGUGAGGACAGGGAGGAUGGGAAAGAGAUGGGAGGGAGACAGUGAGGACAGAGAGGAGUGGGAAAGGGAUGGAGGGACACUGUUGAGGACAGAGGAGGAGUGGGAAAGGGAUGGAGGGAGACGUGAGGACAGAGGGGGAGUGGGAAAGGAUGGAGGAGACCGUGAGGGACAGAGGGGGAGUGGAAAGGGGAUAGAGGGAGACCGUGAGAAGAGGAGGAGUGGGAAAGGGAUAGAGGGAGACCGUGAGGACAGAGAGGAGUGAAGAAAGGAUUAGGGAGACAGUGAGGACAGAGGAGGAGUGGGAAAAGGGAUAGGGGAGACCGUGAGGACAGAGGAGGAGUGGAACAGGAAAGGAGGAAUGGGUAGCGAAAGAGAGGGAGUAGAGUACACUGUCACAAACUAAUAAAUAAUUACUCCUAUAGAGGGCUUAUUAUGAGUUAGUUUUAUAGUAUCAUACUAUUGUGUGACCUAUGUUAUUACUAUAUUAAUUACUGUGUUACUAUGAAAAAAGUCCUGGGAUGUUUCGGCUACCUGCGUCGUUUGAAGGUGACUUGGGCAUGUCAGCGUUGGCACCAUCUGCUCACCCGGCCGGACCCACUGAUGUGGCCCA
ensembl:lncRNA